rnacentral:pre_miRNA from 1 species
AGUUUUGCAGGUUUGCAUUUCAGCGUAUACCUGUAUACAUGGCUGUGCAAAUCCAUGCAAAACUGA